rnacentral:rRNA from 1 species
CGGCAGCUACACAUGCAGUCGAGGGGUAACAGGAAAAAGCUUGCUUUUUUGCUGACGACCGGCGAACGGGUGCGUAACGCGUAUAGAAUCUGCCUUGUACAGGAGGAUAGCCUUUAGAAAUGAAGAUUAAUACUCCAUAAUAUUGGGAAGUGGCAUCACUAUCUAAUUAAAGAUUUAUCGGUACAAGAUGACUAUGCGUCCUAUUAGCUAGAUGGUAAGGUAACGGCUUACCAUGGCAACGAUAGGUAGGGGCCCUGAGAGGGGGAUCCCCCACACUGGUACUGAGACACGGACCAGACUCCUACGGGAGGCAGCAGUGAGGAAUAUUGGACAAUGGAGGCAACUCUGAUCCAGCCAUGCCGCGUGCAAGAAGACUGCCCUAUGGGUUGUAAACUGCUUUUAUACGGGAAGAAACAUCUCUACGUGUAGAGACUUGACGGUACCGUAAGAAUAAGCAUCGGCUAACUCCGUGCCAGCAGCCGCGGUAAUACGGAGGAUGCAAGCGUUAUCCGGAAUCAUUGGGUUUAAAGGGUCCGUAGGCGGAUUAAUAAGUCAGAGGUGAAAUCCUGCAGCUUAACUGUAGAACUGCCUUUGAUACUGUUAGUCUUGAGUUAUUGUGAAGCGGUUAGAAUAUGUAGUGUAGCGGUGAAAUGCAUAGAUAUUACAUAGAAUACCAAUUGCGAAGGCAGAUCGCUAACAAUAUACUGACGCUGAUGGACGAAAGCGUGGGGA